rnacentral:rRNA from 1 species
UUGCCAGCAUGUCCUCCGGGAGUGGUGGGGGACGACUGUUUGGGACCGGCCUCUGCUAAAGAGGAGGAAGGAAUGGGCAACGGUAGGUCAGCAUGCCCCGAAUUAUCCGGGCUACACGCGGGCUACAAUGGUCAGGACAAUGGGCAUCAACACCGAAAGGUGAAGGCAAUCUCUUAAACCUGUCCUUAGUUCGGAUUGUGGGCUGCAACUCGCCCACAUGAAGCUGGAAUCUGUAGUAAUCGCGUCUCAAAAUGGCGCGGUGAAUAUGUCCCUGCUCCUU